GGGCAGAUUCAUUACACAAAGCACUUGACCAUUUCACUGCCAGAGAGCUAUUAGAUGGUGGUCAGAGGCAGUACCAAUGUCAGCAGUGCAAACAGAAAGUGAAGGCUACUAAACGGCUAACAAUUGACCAGGCACCUCAUGUCCUAACCAUCCACUUGAAGCGAUUUGGUUCUCAUGUCCCUGGGCAAAAGAUUGAUAAGAAGAUUCACUAUGGGCCUACAUUAGACUUGAAACAUUUUGUAUCCGAUACCUAUGUAAGAACAGUUUUUCCUCUUUGCAGUCAAGAACUCCUUUAGCUUCUUUGUUUCAGAUCUAAUAUUUGUUGUUUGAACCUGCUCUUAUUUUGUGAUUUGACUAAUCUCCAAAUAUGAAAAUUAGCAGCCAAUAAAAUGGAUGAUGAAUUGGCUUAGGAUUAAUUUGAACCUUCCAUGAAAUUAUUUCAUAGANAUUUUUUUGUUUUAUUUCCAUGCGCAGUUUUGUUUAGUCUGAAAGUUAAUAAAGAGUAUGACCAACAACAAGCCUCUGUCUCUAACAAGAUGCGGUGAAAAUAAGGGUAUGAUAGAGAUUUUUUUUAGAAGGCUGACAACAAGAUACUUCUCUAUCCUAGAGAUUUACACCUAAGUAUACUGCUCCAGAAUAUGCUUCCUAUUUUUCUUAUUUUUGAAACUGAUUUUUUUAAACUGGCUCCUAUUUUUCUUAUAUCAUUCCACAUUGGAAGACUUUUAGACAUUUGACUAUCUGAGUUGAUCCUUAAUUAUGUUUUAGGCAUAUCCCGGAAUUUUCGAAAUGCCAGACAGGAGGAUGCACAUGAAUACAUGGUGAAUCUGCUUGAGUCAAUGCAUAGAUGUUGCUUACCUUCAGGAGUGCCUAGUGAAUCCCCCAGUGCUUAUGAGAAAAGUUUGGUUCAUAAGAUAUUUGGUGGGCGUCUUCGUAGUCAGGUACAGUUCAGUUGCUCUUCCCUUGGUGUGCUAAGCCUAAUAACUUUUAGGAGGAGUUCAGAAAUUUGGGGGGGUGGGGGGUUAUUUCCUUGAUUCCUUUUUUAACAUUUCUUUGAUUCCUUGCCUGUUUACAUUUUUCCAAAUGAUCUGCAGGUGCAGUGCAUGCAGUGUAAAUUUUGCUCUGACAAGUUUGAUCCAUUUCUGGAUUUAAGUCUAGAAAUUUUAAGGGCAGAUUCAUUACACAAAGCACUUGACCAUUUCACUGCCAGAGAGCUAUUAGAUGGUGGUCAGAGGCAGUACCAAUGUCAGCAGUGCAAACAGAAAGUGAAGGCUACUAAACGGCUAACAAUUGACCAGGCACCUCAUGUCCUAACCAUCCACUUGAAGCGAUUUGGUUCUCAUGUCCCUGGGCAAAAGAUUGAUAA
rnacentral:lncRNA from 1 species